UACGGAGGGGGCUAGCGUUGUUCGGAAUUACUGGGCGUAAAGCGCGCGUAGGCGGACCUGCAAGUCGGGGGUGAAAGCCCGAGGCUCAACCUCGGAACUGCCUUCGAUACUGCGGGUCUCGAGUCCGGGAGAGGUGAGUGGAAUUCCUAGUGUAGAGGUGAAAUUCGUAGAUAUUAGGAAGAACACCAGUGGCGAAGGCGGCUCACUGGCCCGGUACUGACGCUGAGGCGCGAAAGCGUGGGGGAGCAAA
rnacentral:rRNA from 1 species